rnacentral:rRNA from 1 species
UACGAAGGGGGCUAGCGUUGUUCGGAUUUACUGGGCGUAAAGCGCACGUAGGCGGAUCGAUCAGUCAGGGGUGAAAUCCCAGAGCUCAACUCUGGAACUGCCUUUGAUACUGUCGAUCUGGAGUAUGGAAGAGGUGAGUGGAAUUCCGAGUGUAGAGGUGAAAUUCGUAGAUAUUCGGAGGAACACCAGUGGCGAAGGCGGCUCACUGGUCCAUUACUGACGCUGAGGUGCGAAAGCGCGGGGAGCAAACAGG